rnacentral:rRNA from 1 species
UACGUAGGGUGCGAGCGUUAAUCGGAAUUACUGGGCGUAAAGCGUGCGCAGGCGGUUUGCUAAGACAGGUGUGAAAUCCCCGGGCUUAACCUGGGAACUGCGCUUGUGACUGGCAGGCUAGAGUACGGUAGAGGGGGGUGGAAUUCCUGGUGUAGCAGUGAAAUGCGUAGAUAUCAGGAGGAACACCGAUGGCGAAGGCAGCCCCCUGGGCCUGUACUGACGCUCAUGCACGAAAGCGUGGGGAGCAAACAGGAUUAGAUACCCGU